rnacentral:rRNA from 1 species
GACGAACGCUGGCGGCGUGCUUAACACAUGCAAGUCGAACGGAAAGGCCCUGCUUUUGUGGGGUGCUCGAGUGGCGAACGGGUGAGUAACACGUGAGUAACCUGCCCUUGACUUUGGGAUAACUUCAGGAAACUGGGGCUAAUACCGGAUAGGAGCUCCUGCUGCAUGGUGGGGGUUGGAAAGUUUCGGCGGUUGGGGAUGGACUCGCGGUUUAUCAGCUUGUUGGUGGGGGAGUGGCUUACCAAGGCUUUGACGGGUAGCCGGCCUGAGAGGGUGACCGGCCACAUUGGGACUGCGAUACGGCGCAAACUCCUACCGGAGGCAGCAAUGGGGAAUGUUGCACAAUGGGCGGAGGCCUGAUGCAGCAACGCCGCGUGCGGGAAGACGGCCUUCGGGUUGGAAACCGCUUUCGCCUAUGACGAAGCGUGAGUGACGGUAAUGGGUAAAGAAGCACCGGCUAACUCCGUG